rnacentral:rRNA from 1 species
AUUGAACGCUGGCGGUAUGCUUAACACAUGCAAGUCGAACGAUGAGAAAGAGCUUGCUCUUUCGAUUAGUGGCGGACGGGUGCGUAACGCGUAGGAAUCUACCUAUUAGUGGGGGACAACUUAGGGAAACUUAAGCUAAUACCGCAUACGCCCUACGGGGGAAAGAAGGGGAUCGCAAGACCUUUUGCUACUAGAUGAGCCUGCGUAGGAUUAGCUAGUUGGUGGGGUAAAAGCUCACCAAGGCGACGAUCCUUAACUGGUUUGAGAGAAUGAUCAGUCACACUGGAACUGAGACACGGUCCAGACUCCUACGGGAGGCAGCAGUGGGGAAUAUUGGACAAUGGGCGAAAGCCUGAUCCAGCAAUACCGCGUGUGUGAAGAGGGCCUUAGGGUUGUAAAGCACUUUCAAUUGGAAGGAAAACCUCGAAGCUAAUACCUUCGAGUUUGACAUUACCUUUAGAAGAAGCACCGGCUAACUCCGUGCCAGCCGCCGCCGUAACAC